rnacentral:rRNA from 1 species
ACAGCAGCCGCCACGGGAAUACAGAGGGUGCGAGCGUUAAUCGGAUUUACUGGGCGUAAAGCGUGCGUAGGCGGCUUUUUAAGUCGGAUGUGAAAUCCCUGAGCUUAACUUAGGAAUUGCAUUCGAUACUGGGAAGCUAGAGUAUGGGAGAGGAUGGUAGAAUUCCAGGUGUAGCGGUGAAAUGCGUAGAGAUCUGGAGGAAUACCGAUGGCGAAGGCAGCCAUCUGGCCUAAUACUGACGCCGAGGUACGAAAGCAUGGUGAGCAAACAGGAUUAGAUACCCCUGUAGUCCCUGUCUCUUAUAC